UACGUAGGGUGCGAGCGUUGUCCGGAAUCAUUGGGCGUAAAGCGCGCGUAGGCGGCCCGGUAAGUCCGCUGUGAAAGUCAAAGGCUCAACCUUUGAAUGUCAGCGGAUACUGCCGGGCUAGAGUCCGGAGGAGGCGAGUGGAACUCCUGGUGUAGCGGUGGAAUGCGCAGAUAUCAGGAAGAACACCAACGGCGAAGGCAGCUCGUUGGGACGGAACUGACGCUAAGGCGCGAAAGCGUGGGGAGCGAACAGG
rnacentral:rRNA from 1 species